rnacentral:sRNA from 1 species
GACCGCGGACCCAUUGAUAAAAUAUACGGUCUGACUCUCAAAAACUGACGUCACAGUUUCAAGAUAUACCAAAGAUAUACUGAUAUACUGAUAAAGAUAUAUUCCAUCAUAUUCCUCGAUUUCGAUAUUCGGUUGAAUAUUACUAGCUAGCUAGGAUCCUCAGCCCUGAACACAUAAUUUAAUCCGAUUUAUGCAUCAUUUUCCUACAAGACUGGUUAACUCUAAGCUCUCAUCUUUAUUGGAUAAAAUAUGGUUUAAACAAACACAGUUUCCACUAAACUAAUUUCCUUACAUGAGCGCCAUCGAAGCGCCAGUAUGAAAAAUCGCCGUUAUUCACGUUUAGACAUGCGUUUCGAAAUUUUCAAAAUAUUUGAGUUUUUGAUGGCAAACGAUUCGAUGCUGAUCACGAAUUCUAUGUAGGCUGAGACAUGGCUAAAUGGUAUUUCUUCACGGUUUCUACAUUGGUGCAUUGGUGAAGAGGCUAGAUUUACGAAUAUGGAUAGGGAACGGUUAACCCAUUGUCGACCAGUGGGUAUUAAAAUACUCUAAACGAAAAUAAUGAAUCUCGAAGAAUUUUAGUG